CGCGGGUCCAAGCCUGUAGUCCCAAAUCGGAUAUCUCUGCAGCUGAUAACAAGCAAAAGAGAAGCCAGGCAACAGCCAUAUUAAAGAAGAAAACAAUCAACUCUGAGG
ensembl:misc_RNA